rnacentral:rRNA from 1 species
UACGGGGGGGGGCAAGCGUUGUUCGGAAUUACUGGGCGUAAAGGGUUCGUAGGUGGCCCGCUAAGUCACACGUGAAAUCCCUCAGCUUAACUGGGGAACUGCGUGUGAGACUGGCAGGCUUGAGUGCAGGAGAGGAACGCGGAAUUCCAGGUGUAGCGGUGAAAUGCGUAGAUAUCUGGAGGAACACCGGUGGCGAAGGCGGCGUUCUGGACUGUAUCUGACACUGAGGAACGAAAGCCAGGGGAGCAAACGGG